UACGUAGGGGGCAAGCGUUGUCCGGAAUCAUUGGGCGUAAAGAGCGUGUAGGCGGCCCGGUAAGUCCGCUGUGAAAGUCCAGGGCUCAACCCUGGGAUGCCGGUGGAUACUGUCGGGCUCGAGUCCGGAAGAGGAGUGUGGAAUUCCUGGUGUAGCGGUGAAAUGCGUAGAUAUUGGGAGGAACACCAGUGGCGAAGGCGGCUCACUGGACCGGUACUGACGCUGAUGCGCGAAAGCGUGGGGAGCAAACGGG
rnacentral:rRNA from 1 species